rnacentral:rRNA from 1 species
UACGGGGGGGGGCAAGCGUUGUUCGGAAUUACUGGGCGUAAAGGGCGCGUAGGCGGCCUUCUAAGUCGGACGUGAAAUCCCUCGGCUCAACCGAGGAACUGCGUCCGAUACUGAAAGGCUUGAAUCCGGGAGAGGGAUGCGGAAUUCCAGGUGUAGCGGUGAAAUGCGUAGAUAUCUGGAGGAACACCGGUGGCGAAGGCGGCAUCCUGGACCGGCAUUGACGCUGAGGAGCGAAAGCCAGGGGAGCAAACGGG